rnacentral:misc_RNA from 1 species
GCGGAAAACUGCUUUUCCCUCAGCUCACAGACUGAGGGGCGCAUGAAGAGCAUAUAAACCGAUAAACCAAGAGACCCUGCGGUGCUAAAGGCUUUGCUGGCGGGUUUUUCUUGCUCUUUUUGUCCCCUACGACUGCUUCCACCUGUGUCUCCCCCUCCUCUCCACCCCGCCGUCAGUUGCGGUGUGCCUGCGCUUCGAAAAUCGCAUCCGCUUCGUUUUUUUUUCAUCUCAAGUGGGAGAAAAAGACACAAGCCUCUGCUGCACAUCACUCGAUCUGUGUGUUUGCGAUCUCAGCAUAAUUCGAAGGCCGUCAUUCCUACUAUCCCUUGUGGAAUGUAAUCGGUUCAAACAUUGUGCCAGAAUGCACCCGGAUAGCUUCCGCUGCAUUGCCUGCAUCACGAGACUGUGAAGGGCAGCGGUGAUGAUGCCACAGACGCGAAGGAGGUCGCAAUUGCGAGCGUGAGAGAGGCUGCAUGGCAGGUAUAGCGAUGCGUCGCUGGUUGAAUGGUGCCGUUCAUCAUAUUCUGCUACAGUGAGCAACUGCCAGCUGCACGUGCAGCUCUGUUUUGGUGUUCCGUAUUGUGUGUCCUGUGCCCGCAUAGUUCGAAGGCCGUCACCCCCCUGUACUGCAUCUUAGGGUGCUUUCGGUUCAAAGGCUGUGCCAGAUAGAUUGCCAUGUCGUUGACUUGUUUCCGUUAUGCUCUUCGAGUGAAGGCGAGGGCGGCAUGCCAACUGUCGUGACAUGCUGGACGACCGAGGGUACAGCUGUCUUGUCCUGCUUUCAGAUGAGAGGUGCUUGUGCGUGCGCGCAGCUUCUGUGUUCUUCACCGAAUGUGAUGACGCUGGUCGCUCUCUUACUGCUCCGUGCAACGGGUAUUCGGGAAGGGGGAGGGGGGGGGGCAUGCUUCCCCUCCCUCGUAAAUGAGCUUGCUCACAACCGGCCAUAGCAGGAUGAUAUCUAUUCUUUGAAUGUUCUUCGAUGACGGGCUUCGGCCUACGAUGAGACACACAAUAGAUGAACCCUUUAACUCUGAAACGGCUGCGAGCAGUAGAGAGGGACGGUAAGGAGCACGUUGCGGGGGUGAAGUGCCAGAGAAGCGCUGGAAGGGGAAGGGGCCGGCUACGUGAGUGCUGAGCCGUGGUAACCUCUGCCCGUAGGGGGUGCACAGAAGGAACCACAAAAGGCGUGUAGCGCCAUUCUCGCUCUCUGCUUUGGUGCAGCCCACUGAUGAACUCGAUUCUUUGAAUGUUCUUCGAUGGCAGGCCUCGGCCUGCGAUGAGAAGCGCAAUAGAUGAACCCUUUAACUCUGAGCUUGUCACGCAAGAGCACCCCAAACGAAGACGAGGGGCACACCCACACGCCGACAGGGAGAGGAGGAGAAGGGCUUGGAUGUGGCGCGAGGUCCACACAUCUUUCGUGCUCGGCAAGAGUGCGCCGGUUGUGUUUGCCAAACCGCCCACAUGCCCCGAAUGCAGAAAACUUUCGUUCGGCGAUGCGGCACGGCGCUGCCAACAGAAGGCACUUCAGUGAUGCUGUCUUCAGUUGUCGACACAAUCUAUCUGGUGACUACUCCUCAAAGAAAGACAAGCGUGGUGUCCAGCAUCCGCCCUGUGGUUGACAGCCUUAUCAUGUUGGCCGUGCCGUCCCUGCUGCACAACGUGUGCCCAGUGUACGGAGUGGAUGCACCGCUGGCAUCCUCGUCUCGGUCUAACACAGACGCGUUGGUCUGCUUCGCCAACGCCGUUCGCUGUAGGAGACAAGGAAGGGACAGCGCACAGAAGAUGAAAUAAAACGCAAGGCUUCGCAGGGGGACGGGGCCGCAGCACCAUCAACGCAGAGGAUGCUGCUCUCGUGCAAGACUCUUUUUUUUUCGCCUCUGCGUAGGGUGUAAACCGCGCUGGCUGCCUUGUCACCUAUCCCCUUUCCCUUCACCGUCACCCCCCAAGAUGCAAGUAAAUGAUGCGUUUCUGCGAUAAAGCGCGCGCUCACGCGCAAGGAGAAUCUAGUACGCCCGUCCAGGCCCACGCUGAGGGAGAAGCAACAAGAAU